CCUGACCAACGUGAUUUGGGAAAAACUGUCUAAGUGAUUGUAUAAAGUGGUAAAAACAAAUGUUUGUCUUGUCGCGGAUGUCUUAUUAGAAUCCGAAACAUUUUAGUUGCUAUAACUAUGGUACACACAACAAAAAUGUUGAACUAGAUACGGAAAAAUCGCAUCAAUGCAGUGAUAUGUCGAAGGCUGCACUUACCAGUCUACAAUCUAAACACAUAAUAAUAUCUAGAAUGUGAAUAUGGCAAAAACAAAGAAAAUUUUUCUACUCCGUCGUAACAACGAAAGUUGAUGUCAAACGCAAAUAGUAACGACAAAUUCAAUUUAUGAUGUAAAAUAAAAUGCAAGAAACAAAAAGGGAUCCUUCGAGCCGGAUUUGAACCAGCGACCUAUGGAUAUCAGCAAUUUUAAACCUCUACAGUCCACCGCUCUACCAACUGAGCUAUCGAAGGUUGUUUAGUAACGGCGAAAUUACACAUCUAAUAAAAAGUAUAAAUAAUUAAAUGUAUGUACUUAAAUGAAUACUUAUCUUUAUUACUUUCAACUGUAUUCUCACAUUUUCAAAUAAAUAUACAAUCUUUAUCAAUCACUACAACAAA